ensembl:lncRNA
UCGUGGAGCCGGGACUGGCCGAGUCGGGGUACGAGUCGCGGAGCCGGGACUGGCCGAGUCGGGGAGCGAGUCGUGGAGCCGGGACUGGCAGGACAGGACAAGGAAGGAUCGGGGACUGGACUUCACCUGCAGAUUAUACUUCUCUGCCGAGGAAACUGUCUCAUGGCAAGAUAGCGUGUGUUCAAGCAUACCCAAACGUCUCUUUUAAGAGCCAUCCACACGUUAUCAUUGAGCAAACUUCUUGCAAUAUUACUUAAGAUUGAAUAGCAGUUUGUUAUUAAACAAUGCUAUUAUGCUAGACUCUAAUGUACUACAUUCAGUGCAGUGUAUGUUGUAUGCAAAAAAGGCACAUACGGUUGUAUCCUGUUUAUUAAAAGUCCGAGGUCCCUCCUAGACCGGUCAUAAUAUUACGUUAGGUACGAGUAGGUCUCGUACAGCUCGCAGUACUAGUUUUGUUAAUCCUUUUUUGGGGGAUCUGGCAACUAUUUACAGUGAUGACAGGGGUGGAGGGCAGUUUUCAGUUUUGGAUUUGAAACAUACAUUCCACUAACAAUACUGAAACAUGGACUAGAGGGAAUAUUGUUUGUGGCGAAAUGGUUCCCUAUUCUACCGGCAACGCCACUUGGGAUAGGCCCAAGACCUUUUAAAGCACGCGGGUUCGUUUCACUCAACAGGCAAGGGCUCGUGGUUCCCAGGUUACAAAAACAUUUUUAUUCAAUAAAUAUACAUUCCCGUAAAAUCUAACAUUCCUCACAAAAUAAGAAAAGAAAACUAAUCGCUAAGGCCUAAUGGUGAGAAGCGUCAUUUAGCUGACGCUUUCAUCCAAAGUGACUUACAUUGCAUUUUUAACCCAUGGCUUUUUACAUUUCUGCCCAGGGAGCAAUUAGGGGUUAGGUGUCUUGGUCAGGGACACUUCGACAUGGGACAACAAAAACAGCGAGCUUGUAGAAAACACCUUCGAGCGCGAGCAGAGAUUAGCCUCGCGAGCUAGGGAGUUCACGUUCCACGAGCAAGCAAAUAUCUCGAGCGAGACAGACUUUUUGCUCGCGCGAGACAGACAUUUGCUCCCGCGAGACAUUUGCUCGCAGAUGUUUUAUUUCAACCUGAUUUGGACUUUCGAAUUUUGACAGUGAUUUGCCGCCAUAGUUAUUCGGUGCCUUGAUAUACCUUUUGUUAGUGAAAUUAGAAGUAUAUUCCUCUACAUCCUUCAGGAAAACUACAUAAGGUUGUUAUGUCCAACGUAUUUUUGGAAUAAACAAUUUGCCAACAUCAUCAUUGUUUUUCUUCUUUUUGUGUUUUUAUGAAUAUGAUGAAAGACAAAUUUAUAAAGGUCUUGCUAGAACUUCUUUGAACAUGAAAGGUGUGAAACCAUUUCCACAGUUUGUCAGGGUAAACUUUAGUAUCAAUGUUCAAGGGCACUGUCCUAACCUUAAUCACCACCAGGCAUCCAGAUUUUCUCAAUUAAACCAAUUCAAAUAUGUCAUCACAUGCGUGAUGAAAACCUUUUCAGGCAGCUGGUUUUGAGUUAUCUACGCUUUCUUAUUUUAGUUGAUUUACUGCUUAAUUUGUAAUAGAUACUUUCCUCUUUUGUGAAAGCUCUGGAUUGGAAGUAACUUGUGUAUGAAGUACAUGACACAAUAUGCUCGAAGUCCAACGAGGGAUGACACCUGUUUCGUUUUGAGUAACAAAAUUGCAGACUGUAAUUUUGUCAACUCAUUGAAACGUAUCUUUCUCCCCUGUUACAGAUGCUCAACCAGUCAUAAUAUAACGAGCCUGCAAUUUAUUAGAUAUAUUGCAUAUAUAUAUUGCAAAUUGGUAGCAAUUAACAUGAUUAAAAGUGUGAAUUCAAGCUUCAGGUAAAAAAAAGUAAAGUAGAUUUUAGUUUAUUUCAAGAUGAAAACAUGUAAAAUAGGAGCAGCGCAGCGGUCUUGAGCUAACCAAUGGGGAACACUCACAUGCACUUCAAUGUAUUAAAAGCUAAACUAAAUAAACUCUGUGUUUGGUACAACUGCUCUCUCAAAUUUGCUUUAAGGUGGGUGGCUCACCGAGUCAAGGAGGGAUUCUUUCAAUGUCAGAUGCUGGGUCAUCCCAUUCUGCUGAAGAACUGUGCUACUGCGAAGGUACCUUUGAAUUACACCAAGGAUUGCAUGCAUCGUACGUUCAGGGAAGUUUCAUUGAAUAGCAUUUUCCUGUCCCCAGAUUUUGAAACCUGGAAAAAUGCUACGUUAAGGUAUUGUAUGGUAUGGCAUACUGUAGUGUAAAGCUGGCGAUCCAGUUGCUAACUCAAACUUAAAUAGGUGUUCUGUCAGAACUUCUGUUGGAAGUGGAACGAGCAAACCAUGAUGGUUGUUAUUUUGUUUUUAAGUUUAAAUGAUGAACUUAUAAAAGGUCAAUUGUUUUCCAGUGGAGUUUUGUGACUUUGAGGAGAGCGUGUUAAUUGCAAUAAUUUAAGGUUCAUAUACUAUUGUUAUAUUACAGUUCUGUUGAUUUUUUACAUUCAUUUACUGGCUUUGUAUAGAAUCAAUGUAUUUUUUGGUGACAAAUACAAAACAUUUUUUUCUCCAAAAAAUUCAAAUGAACUGAAUUAUUCCUGAAAAUAAGGUUGGCAUAGUUCAAUAACGCAAACAUUUAGAUAAAUAAUUACUUUUUAACUGUUCAGUUAUGGUAAAGAAACAAACAAGAAGCAAGCGAAGAAUCCCCCCCUUCCGUCCCCCCCCACACUGUGCUAUUCUGAAACUCAUGGAAUUCAAUCGAAGUCGGGAGUCUUAAACAAAUAAUCACAUAUUGAAUGUAUAGAUCUUGUGACCCACAUUUAGAAGUAUUCACACUCACCAGGAAGUGUUCAUUAUAAAGCCUCUUUUGCAGACAAACCCCUCUUCCUAUCUGCUACUUACUCAUUCACUACUUACUCUUAUGUUUUGGUUCCCGAGAAGGACUGGAUAGUGUGUGUGUGUGCGUCUACGUGUGCGCAUGUGUGCGUUUGCGUGCGUGAGGGGAGAGCAGAAGGGGCAUGUGUAUUAGAAAGUCCUCAAUUUCACACAUGCUUAAUCUUGAGUGAGUUUGGCGUGAAGGGAUUUGUGGGGGAGUGUGCGUUCUGGUUGGAAGGUAGGAAAUGAGGGGACUGGGGGGAGGAUUGGGUAUAGGAUGCAGGAUGCUCCUGUUUAAUAGAGUGAGAGAGGAAAUAGUGGAGUACAGACUAAAUAUCCCCCUUUUUCUACUUUAGUUCUCUCUAUGUCUCUGUUUGUAUUGAGCUUGACCCUUUCUGGAGUUCAUACAGUCAGGACUCUAAUCAGUGUAGUUAACCAGAGAGAACAUGCUCACGGUGGCCCCAUUUCCUGGAAAUCACCACUAAGAGCAUUUGUGUACACUUUUACGCGAGUCGCGCACUCAUCCUUGUAGUCAUUGUGAGAAUUAUUGGUAAUUAUUUCCUUAAAAGUAAAUACAAAAAAAAAAACUAUAUUAUGAUGCACCAUAUUCAUGCAAAGUAAGAGAAAAAAAGAUUAUUGACCCUGUUAUGAAGUACUUUAAUGUGAAAUUGCAGCAGACCAUGAUAAUCAGCAUGCCCAACUUCCACCUUUAAACUCACGGGCUUGAACUGCCGGUUUAAAUGUUUGUGAUAAAAGGGAUUUUGCCUGCAGUUUGUCAGAGGGAAUGAAGUUACCAUUUGUGUGGACAAAAUUAUAUACAAUAUAUUCUUGCCUAUAAGAAGGUUUUCUUUUGUUUUUUUGUUUCAUAGUGCAUGUGAAUCUUUCUCAAAAUAAAAAAAAUAUAUAUUACGACUUUCAUUCACAUUCUUGAUAUCUAGAGAACUGAGCUGUGUUGGAAAUGUUUUUAAAUUGAACAAAGUUUGGCACAUAAGAAAAUGUUGUAGAAACACACAUGAACUUUACAUUUCAGGGAUUAUUCCAUGAAUUACAUUUGAUUAGUGUAUCAUUGACAAGUGCCCAUUUAACGAUACUAUGGGAUAAUUACCACCAUUGGUACAGGAGUAAACCAUGCCUAGAUAUGUGGAGGGAAAUAGUGAAAUCAGUUAACCUGAUCUACAGGUAAAUAAACUUUAUAACAGUAUUACACAAUGCUUGAGUGCCUUACUGCAUUAUUCUCUACAUAUUCUUGUUAUUUAACAUUACAGCUUUUGUAUCCACUGUCUGAUUGUGUAGACAACAAAACUACUUGGUUAGUUUUAAGAAAUAGAAGCAGAAGUGGUACUAUUUAAGUACAGAAAUGUUGUGAACAAUUUUUGACAUUGACUUCUGGUUUAACAAUACAAAUUACCACAGACAGCGGCUUCUUGGUUGAUGCACACACCAAUCCUGAAUGCCUCCCAAAGCUGAUUUAACAAACUAAAAGAAUUUAUAUUUAAUCCACCUUACUCUCUUUAGGUAGAGAAACACAUAAUUCUGGCUCAGUGUCUUUCAUAACUAAAAUAAAACUACAGGGGUGCCCAACCACUGGACUGGUAAUGUCCGCAGAAAAAAGCCCCCCCCCCCCCUCUUUUUUUGACUUUUUAUAAAAUAUUUUAUUUUUAAAAUGACUGGAUUCUCACCCUAUUAUAUGUGCUUGUUUCUCUUGCACACAUUUCCCAAGUGUUUUUCUUGCCGUUUGAAGCUUUAAUUACACCUGUUUCUUUUCUGCUAUAAGUCAAAAGUCUGUGCUGUAAAAGCAGCAUUAUAUGCAAUUGACCUCCAAUGUGGAAUGUUUUUUUAUAAGACAAAUUUAGGGGAAGAAUAUUAUUAUUUCAUAGGAAUGACUAUUAUAGUAAGUAAUAGUAAUAGUUUGUUUAUUCUUUGGGUGUUUUGUUCACAUGGACUCUGUGUGUGCUGAUGUGUAGAUAAAGAAGUGUGGGAGCAAGAGGAAAGGUUAGGAGGGUGUGAGAGAGGAAGUGUUUAGGUAGAUCAGUAAACAACCGUUGGGGCUCUGAAGCGUUCAGUGUGUGGGAAUGACCAGGGUCACACCGUCCCCUAACCCCCCACACACAGCAGGUUGUGUGCAGAGAUUUGGGGUCUCAGUCCUUGGAACUGUGUCAAUGACAGGGCCCUUGGGUUUUAAUUCACUGUCCACAGUAUGAAAGUAGUGGAUGAAUGAUUAAGACAAAUCAUUGGGCCUUUCCUUGAAAUAUACUGCUUCAAAUGUAAAUUUGUACUUGUAACACAAGCCUUGUCAUUCAUACUACUGUGAUUACUAUUUGAUUGUGGCAAUUAAUUCUGAUUAAUCUGGGCUGACACCAUCUGUAUGUGCUGUACGCAUACAUAUACCACAUAUAUAUGGCACAUUCUGCAAUGAUCACACAGGAUAUGUGGGUUUUGCAAAUGCAUGAAUGUUGUACCCUUUUGAAUGCUGAAUGUUACUUUGUUACUACGUUUUUUUACAUUUUUUGAUUAGCUCAUUUAAUUGGAAUUUCACCUAAUAUUUCAACUCAGUCUAUCUGACCAUAAUUAAAAAUCUUUACAUAACCUAAUAAUUGCAAUUAUUAAUCUGUUAACUUUAUACUUACAUUUAACACUCCUUUUAAAUGUGUGGUGGAUCUGGCAAAACAUGAUGCAUGAGAAAAUCAGUGAAAACAUAGAGAGACAGCCGCAGAGUAGAGAACCGCAGUUUGACGCCUCUGCAUGGUUAGAAAGCGAGAUGCCAGAGAUAAGAUAGCGCUCUGCGAUUAGAUAAGAAAAGUCUUUUGAAAGUGAUUUCCCGCACGUCCUGUAUUCAAUUUAGAUAGUAAGAUAUGCAUGAAAUAAAUUGGAUUUUGAGGGUGAAGAUAAUGCAUUUCUACAUUCGCAGUUGUUAUUUUGAAAGCUAUUUUCACUUUUGGAGAUUGGUACGAUUUGUUUAUCCUGGUUAUUGGGCUUAUUGGAUGGCACAUAGUGGUUGGAAUGAGCGUUGUCGAAGAAGAUGUGAUGAGUCUGCAGCUGGUCUAAACAGCCAGAGCAAAGCGGGAGAAAAGCCACUGUACUAUGGUGUAAAAUGUACACUAAAUGCAAAAACUGACCACCUCAUUAGGUAGAGCGUUGGCUCCCUUGGCAGCGGCACAUUUCAACCUUUGGCUCUUUGCUGUGUAUCAUCCCCUCUCUCCCAACUCUUUCCUUCCUGUCCAAUCCCUGAGCAUGGACAAAUUGUAUACUCAAAGAACAUUAUAUUUUCAAUUGAAAGAAAAUGAGACAAUCCGGAUGUGUGAUGCUUUACUUCAUGUGCAACUAUAUUCUUGUAAAUGAACAUCAUGCUGUAUUGAAAAAGACUUGGAACUAGAGAUUGAGACCAAAAAAACAAAAUGCAAUUACAAAUAUAUGUGAAUGAAAACCUGUGGCGAAUAAGGCAUUACUCUGUAGUACAAAUGGAUUUAGUUCAUAUGGUAUAGAAUGAAGAGGGCGGCACAGUGGUUUGGUUGCCUCAGAGCAAGAAGAUCCUGGGUUCAAACACAUCCAGAGACUUUUCUCUGUGGAGUUUGCAUGUUCUCCCUGUGCCUACGUGUGUUUUCUCCAGAUAUAGUCCAGCUUCCUUCCACUGAUCCUAGCUGGGAUUAACCCCAGCCCCCACCGAAACCCUCUAAGGAUAAGCGGUAGAGAAGAUGACUGAAAUAAGAUGACAACAAGAAAAAAAUCCUAUCACUAUUCUGUGAUAAUAUUGAUUAUAAUUUCACUUGUACAGCCAAAAGAAGAAAAAUAUGACAAGUUUAUACUUUACUUAAUGCACUCUUCAUAGAUUUUGAAUUUGUAUUCAAUAGAAAGUAAUUCUGAUGAAAAUGAAAAGAUGUUAGGUGAAGCUUGCAAAUAAAUAAUAAAUAAUUGUGACAAUUUACGCCCACCACCUCAUUGCAAUGGGAGGAUAACAUGUCUUUGCCAAAGAAAAGCAUGUAGAUGAGACUACUUUUCAAAAGACCAACUUUUCCUAUUAAAUGGGUAUAAGUCCUGAAUUGGUGACCUUGUUUUUUGAGGCCAGGUAUGAGUUAGAUAUCAGCAGUUUAUAGCAGUCCAAAGAUGAUGCAAACAGGCUCUUAUACCCUCCUCUCCAUUUCCAGACCUAAUGAAGAAUUCCAGUUGCCAGGCGAAGGGUGGACGGGGAGGGGUGGGGCGAUGCUCGGACAGUGGGGAUUUUUCAUCCUGUAAUGUUGGCAUGGGUCAUUAAUUGUGUCUUGCCAUGAGACCAGUGGGCUUGUCAUUGGGGUGUAGCACUACUAUACAUCUCCUAAGCCCGACCCUCCCCACAAACACACAUACACAUUGAAACACUUCCCUUUGCUCAUCCUUAGGAUGCGUCAGGUCCUGGGUUGUCCGGAUGCCCACCCAUACACCCUGAAGAGUGAACUGACCCAGAUACUGUCACUAAUUGAUGAACCCUCCUCCAGGGUUCAUGAUAGCUGACAUGAUCAUGAAGAAAACAAGAAAAUGUGUCAUAUUGAUCAAAUUCGGCAAGGGCUCCCGUUUGAAUCCAUUGACUUAAUCUUAGUCAUCAACUUGUGGUGCGUUACUAUGUAUUUGAAUGUAGAGUAUAUGGUUGUCACACGAGUAAGUGACUAUGCAUUAAAGUGACAGAUUAAUUAAUUGAACAUUACUAAAUAAAUCAGUUUUGUGAUUCACUAGUUUAUCUAUGCAACAUAGUAAGAAAGCAUUCAGUGUGCUUAUUUCUAAGUUAUACAAACUUUGUUGGCAAACUCUAGAGCAAAAACAUCUGCGGUCCCUUUAUAGCCAGCAAUGAUGCGGUUGGCAUUUUAAACUCUGAGGCUGUUUUUUGGCCUCUCCCCUGAAACUGGCGUACCCAUGAUAAGAAGGUGUUUCUCUGAAACGUCUGUCUCGAAAAAUAUUUGCUGUCAGGAUAAAGGGGACCACCUCGGAGUAAAUAGCUGAAAAAAAGAAACCAAAGAAGAAACGUAUUUAUUUAAUGUUCAUUUUUCAAGAAUUUUAACUUUGCAAGGUAACUUGCAAGGUGUAAAUUGAAUACAGUAAACAUUACAGAAAAUGACAGGUUUCACAAGUAAUAUGUAAGAUAAAAUUAAGUAAAUACCAAAGCAACAAAUUAUAUUAAUAAAAUCAGAAUCGGCUUUAUUGGCCAUGUAUAUUUAUACAUACAUGGAAUGUGUUUCCGGUUACAUGUUGCUUUUAAUCGUACAUAGAUGUACAAAUAAACAACAGAAAUAUAAAAAAUGUGAAAAAAGACAUUAAAGAUGACAAAAUAGAAGACAAAAACUAAGCAUAAACAAUUAAUAAUACACAUAUUAAUAAUAAUCCCCCCUUUACAAAAUGUUUGUUUUUGUAGUUGCAUAUUUUACGGCAUUUUGAUGUUUCUUCAGGGGGGUUAUACUUAGCUUUUUAUGACAUUUUCUCUCCCUUUAUACCAUGCUCCUGUUUUUUCUUUUCUGACUAAUACAUUAUAUUUGGAUAUAUAUAGAACGAAAUGCUUUUCUUGGUGCUAUUCCAAUGUGCCAAGCCCACAAAGCACUGUAUGGGUGUACAACAUCGUUAAGAAUGCUUUAAAACACUCUGGCAUCAAUACUGACAGCUUAUCGCUACCUCACAGCACAACCUAGACAAAGCCUUUAUUUGGAUUUUUUUGGAGAGGAGAAAGAAUUCACAAAUAAAGGAAACAGGCUCUUAGUUUCCUCAGCAUUAGAGAGGAGGACAAAGAGAGUGAGCAAGACAAUAAGCAAGACCCCAAUGAAACCUUUCUGCCUUAUGUAUUGUUUUCUGGGAUUUCCACAGAUAAUUUGCUGUGAAAUGCAGCAAUCUACAUGGAGAUAAUUCCCUGAACAAAACUGUCAGUAAUUAGUUUGUGGACAUAUUCUGAAGAGCCCGCCUCCCCAGUAGAACUCUACUACUUGGCUCAGGGCUGGCACAUGAGCAGGAGCCAAAGCAUCAGCUACUUUCAUCCCAUCCUUCUUUCCGUAAGAUCUGCUUCACCUCCAUAUCAUCCUCACCCCUCCCUCUCUCUGUCAUUUCCUUUUCCCUCAUCUCAGUCACAAUGAAUAAUGACUGCCAACUUGUUGUUAAAUAAUUUGUGAGCAGGAUGCAGCAUUUCAUUUGGCAAAUAAUAUACUCCAGGCCUGAAGGCUGACAGCACUGUUGCUCCACCAUAAAAUUAUUAUGUUGUUAAGUAAUACUUGAAUAGGAUUUAUUUGCAUUUUCACACAGCCUGAUUUGCUGACUGAACAUGUACUGAAUCAGCAAGAUACUGCCUGGUUUGUAAGCAUAUUGGAAGAUUUAGCAGCUAAAGAGUGUAAAUACAUUAUUCUCACUUGUUAAUGAAAACCAAAGCAGAGCUACUUCCUUAAAUUGUGUAACUGCUGUGGAUAGGUUAGCGAUAGAUGAUGAGUGUUUCAAAUUGGUUAAUAGUUGUUUGUGUGUGUGUAGCGGGGGGCAUUUAACAUGGCAGUGGGGUCUCUGUGAACGUCUGCAAACAUGGCCUUGGCAAGGGCCAGAUCUCCUCUUUCUCCUCCAGCUCUUCAACCCUCCUGUGGCCAACUAAAUUAAUUUCGGCAAAAGAGCAUUUUAUUAGCAUUUACCCAUUGCCUCAAAACAUGGCGAUACAUUCUUCCUUCGAGCACUCUGGAAAACAAAUUGGCACAUUAACUGUUGAAAGGCUGGAUGAGGCUUUUCUCCCCAUACCCCCAGGGCUGGCCGGGGGAUUUGCAAGUGUGCCGAUUCAAUCCUUCUGCUUUAUCAUUCAGCAUAAGAGUGCAAGGCUCGAGCACAGGCCUCAGAUGGGUGCAAAUCGUGCCAGAUGUCAGCUAUUAGCUCUUUCUCCCAGUCGCUACUGUUUCUACAUGCACAAAUACAUACACUCACUCCCUCCGUUCUCUUUGGCAAGCCCAAUGCUUUUGUGGCCUGACAAGCCCUCUCUAUUUAUCUGUUAUUACAUUGGGGUUGUCGGAUCCAAAAACCGAGUGGGAGCUUGUGGUGUGAGCCAGCACUGUUGGCUGAACAUCCGUGUCUUCUACCACUUCCCUCCUCUUCGACCCCUUAUUUCAUUUACAAUCACUCUCUCUAUCAAUAAAAUUCCACAAGAUGCAAGAAAACCACACAAUGUGUUUAGUCUUUGAGUACACUAUGUGUGUGGCUGUGUGUGUGUGUGUGCACUCCAAAAUCAAAUCAAUCAUUUGCAUUUGCAGCUAUCUGACUUUAGCCUCCCACUCUCCUGCCUGGCUACAUGUACCCUGCAUCAGAGGGGCUUUCAGCAGUGCUAAUGAGGAUUAGCAUGUUUGUGUUUAUAUGUGUGUCAAUCUAAUCCUUUUAGCAGUAAGCUGUUUUGACAAAAGUGUAAGUAAUAUAUACAUGGCAAAUGUUUCAUAGGGUGGUAUAUUGAAAAGAUGGGAUAUAGUUGAUGCCAAAAAAUGUCCAUCAGUCCAAAACUCAAAGCCUACUAAUACAUAUCCACUAAAUGAUACCUGGUCUCUUGCAAAAACAAUGCGUCAAAAAAGGCAGCUUGGUCUGCGGCACUAAGCUUCAAACUUUCACAUCUUCUGCACCCCUCUCGCAUCACUUUGUCUAUAUAAGCUUGUUAAAUGCAUUUCACCUUUUGAAAUACAUAUCCUAGGAAGCAAUAAAACCACCUAGUUUGGGAAAUGUUUGACGUUAACAUGACCUGAUACGUUACUACAUAUGUGAAUUUCAACAGUAACAACUUUCAUGACAAAUUUUUGAGAAAAAUGGUAGCUUUACUUUUUAUUUCUAAAAAUAACUAAACAGCGUUUUUCUGCAAGAAAAUUAAGUUUGUUUGUUCGACCCAUCAAACUUGUCUCCCACUAAGUUACUUAAGGUGAGAGAAAUGGUUGUCCUUAGAGGUAAGGUUAGGGAGAAAAAGGCAAGAUUUUUCUUAGAUGACUCGUGGUUAUGCCAUGACAAUGUUUCUUGAUGACUCUAAUGCUGUUAUUUAAUGUGCCCCUAUUGAACAGCGGUGAUGGUGUAUCAAUUGUGCAUCUCAUGUGUUUAUCUUUUGUCAUUACUUUGAUUAGCUAUGAAUACAAUAUGCUCCUUUAAAGACAUGGUUACUCAAUAGCCACAGCAACAUUGCUGCAAAGAGGUUCAGCUAGGUAACACGCUCAAGUAAUUAGAUGAUUAUUCAGGUAAACUAUUUAAAGGUUUAGCCUUAAGUAACCAUAGGAGGUCAAAGUUGAAUAAGGAAACUGGUCUCUACUUUGUGAUGGAUGUUACAACAAAUACUUUGGGUAAUGAUUAUAGUUUUGUCUUCUAAAUAAUUUUUUCUGCAGCUCGGUGCUAAUGUUUAUUACUCGUUUCAAUCUUCAGAUAUUCCGUAUUAAUUAUUUUUGUAUGUCAUGUAUAUUAUUAUGUAAUCGACAGAAUAAACUAAAAGGCUACAAAAAGAAAAGUCGUGUGGCAAUUUUGCAAUGCAGUUUAUUUCAUGUUUGUAAUUGAAUACAAUAUAUCAUGAUUUGACUACAACAGAUUUAUGUUACAAAAUAAGUCUCUUGCUGUGUUACAAUGAGAAAACCACAAAUCAUACGUUGGGUUUUCAGGUUGCAGCAUUAGUUAGUCAUUUAGAGAGAGGUUGCAAUGUUGGAUAUGAUCUGGUUUAGCACAGCUUUUAUUACAUCGGGAUAUUUCUUAAAUAAAAAAUGCCACCUUACAUAGAGGCAUGGAAGACACAUGGGGUAUGGGAUCCAGCUCUGCCGGCCAGUCAAGAGGCCGACAGUCAUUGGUGGAGGAAAUAUGCCAGGCCUGAGCUGUGGGCCUCUUCAGUGUCAAGCCCUGUCAGUCAGUGCAUGCUGCUCCUCCCGGGGAUUUCAUCGUUUCCUCAACCCCAGCCACCCCCCCCUUUCAGUCCCCACAGGCCCAUCAAAGGCUGAUUUUCCACGCCGGCGGGCCAGCCGAGGAGGCUUGCAGCCAGGGACAGGUGGGAGGCAGGGAAAGGCCAGUGAGCCAGCAUCUGAGCCUUGGAAGGGUGCUGGGCUCAAGCCAGUAACUGAACUGAAAAUAGUCCUGCCCUGACAUACAGGCCUAGAGGUGCAGGCUUUAACCACACACACACAGUUGGAGAAUUUAACUUGCAUCAACAAACAUGCACUACAAGACCAUUAUAUUUUAAUGGGGUGUAUUCAUUGCCGUUAUGGCACCCCUGAAUCAAUAAAAGAUUAAAAAAUGUUGAUGCAACACACUUCAUAAAUCAGUUUAACAACAUACUAUUUCGGCAUCAGCAGUGGACAUAACUCCAUGUGGAUUUUAUUGACAUAUACUGUACACAGUAUACUGCAUUAAAGUGUGUGCUACAUCUAAAAAGCAAAAGACAUAAUUUGAACUCAUACCACUGUGAAUUUAAUGGUGUCCUAGAUUUGAUUUUGUUUCAGUCCAUCCAAAAAAUCAGUCUCCAUCCUCCACAAAAGGUUAAUCGGUAUCACACCGGUGAGGCCACUCGAGCCAUCUUACCUAUUUUCCUCCCAGUCUCCCAAUUCCCUGUCCUUUUUAGAUUUUAAACUUCCCCUGCCACCUUCUAUUUUAUGCCGGUGUAAAUGAGUUCCCUCACAAAAUCUAUAGUACGUCUUAAAAAGCGAUAACUCUCAUUGGGGUACCGUGACAUUGACCCCUCUAGCAGGGCAGUUCCGGUUCAGUGCCCAGGCCCCCUGCUUGCCAAACACACACAAACACAUACACAACACACACUCGUGUAUCCACACACACAUGCAGAGCCAGACCCCAGGUGCACCAAGAGGAGCAGUUAAAUUUCAUCAUUACCCUUUCUUCCUUGUGUUGGGGCUUUUUAUGGGGCCUUUUUACGGUCCGCUCUGAGGUGCCACUCUGGUCCCAACAGUGCACAGGAGAGAGAUAGAUAGAUGGAGAGGGACGUAGAGAGGGUAAGGCUAGAGGGGAGGGCAGGAGAUAAAGAGCGGGUGGGAAGAAGGAAGUCUGUAUGAGCAGGCAAGAAGGAAGAGAAAGUGGGUGGAUGAGAAUGCGUGCACAAAAUGCACAUUUUUAGACGUGCAUGCAAAGCAAGUAGGGCACUGGGGAGUGAGAAAAAAGAGAAAUGGCACGAGAAAGACUUAGUUGAGGAUGUAGGGGGGGGCAAGGGAGAGGGGUAGAAGGUGCGGGAGGGCCAUCAGUUGUCAGUGUGACUGCUGGCUGAUGUAAAAAAAGUGGUGAGGUGGCGGAUAAGGCGGAUGAUGAAUGGGCUGUAGACGUUCAUCCAUCCCACUAAAGGAUUUGCGGCCAGGGAAUCGUGUACAGACACAUCUAAGGAAGAAAGGACUGUAUGUGUGGGAGGGGGGAUGUUGGAUGUUGUGUGUGUUUUAGGAUGGUGUGAUGGGACCGGUGAUAGGAAGAUGGUACAAGGGAGAAAUAAGGUUUUCACCACAAAAAUGUAUGUGUAUUGAAGUGUGUGCUUAGUCUACGCUACUCUGCACCCGUCAGUGUUAUGCAUGGAUACUGGACAUGCACGUGUGCAUACCUCUAUGACAAACCCAUCCUGGCAGUAUGACGAUGACAGGCCUCUACGCUGGAAGAUGUAUUGCGAUGCUGCUGUCUAACUUGAAACAGGCCCAUCCAUAUCCCUCACUGCUAUCAGCACUGUCCAACUCUGUUUUAUAGCACCAAACAGUGGCCAUAAUGACACUCGGACUUGGAACAUGUCAGGGUGGAACAGAUUGAUUGGUAAACAGACACUCUCUCCUGAGAUACGCUUGUACAUCAAUGUCCUGACUUUUUUGGAGGAGCUGUAAUGAAGGCUGGAUUAUUAUUGCAGCAUGGCCAAAUGCAGUGUUUGCAAGGCAGCCAAUUUAUGAGAAUAGUGUACAUAAUAAUAAUAAUAAUACAUAUGACUGUAAAAUGCAAUUCAACAAUCAAGAUAUUCACCUUAUAUUAUCACAUAUAGACUGGUAUUCAAAGAAGGGUUCAGGCUAUAAAAAGUAGUAAAAUAGUUGGUGAAAGCGAAAAAAUGGCUUGCAGGGUGAAUUCUCCAUAAUGAGUAAUUGUACAGUAUUAAUUCACCAGUAAAAUUAUAUAAUUUUGUCAAACGCUACUAUGCUCUGUUUAGUUUCUCUUUUCAGCAAAUAGACUCACAAAAUAAUGGAAGUGUCACACCUGUAGGUCAAGUUGGGCUUCUGUCCCGUCUCAAUGGUUGUUUUGUGACUUCCUGUUUUAUUUUGAUAAUUAACCCUCCUGUUGUUUCAGGUUCCUAGCCCCUCCUCAUGUGUCACCAGUUUAAUUGUUUUCCCUGAUUCCUGAUCGUGUCCACCUGUUCCCACACUUCCCUCAUGUGUACUUAUAGUCUGCGUCUCCCCUUGUCUUGUGCCAGUGUGUUUUUAUUCCCUUGUUUUAUACUAACCCAUAGCCUUAUUCUACUAACCCAUUGCAUCAGCAUUUCAUUUUACUUUAUUUUAUUACUUGUGCACUGCUGUCUUGUUGUCUAUUGUCACACUGUCUACGGUCGUGCACCAACCGCCAAGACAAAUUCCUUGUAUGUUUGACAUAUUUUGGUAAUAAAUGUUUCCUGAUUAUGUCCUUUUGCUGUGCACACCCGGACACAUCUGCGUCCGAGUCCUCACCUCGAGAUCCCCGUGACAGGAAGUCGCCUUUAUUUUUUGAUGCUAGAAUUAAUGAAACCCAAUGCUUCUAAACAAAAUAUAUAAAAUUAAAAGAACCAGAGAUUGGAAAGAGGGAUGAUUUUACUUUUGUAAUCUUACACUGUUGGUACGCUUUAACGUUAAACAUCUGUGUCAGAAAUGUUGCGAUUUAUUUUUUUUAAAGCAAAAGAGACAAGAAUUAAAUCCAUUGAGUAAUUUUUGGAGUUAACCUUGUGAUAAGAAAUUAAUGAAAUCUUUCAAAAUUUACAGUGCCUUGCAUAAGUACUCACCCGCCAUGUAAAUUUCCACGUUUUGUGGACUGGUGCAACCAAUUGCCUUCACAAGUCACAUUUGCAAGUCACGUAAUGGUAGCUUAUAAUACCAUACUGCCCUACUAGAGAGCCACGCUCCAUAAAUGCUGGGUUACUUAUUGUUCCUAAAGUUUUAAAAAGUAGGAAGGAAGCCAGAGCCUUCAGUUAUCGAGUUCCUCUUUUGUGGAACCAGCUUUCCCUUUCAUCUCCAGGGUGCAGAUACAGUCACUUCAUUUAAGAUAAAGCUUAAGACUUUCCUCCACACUUGUGCUGUGUUCACGGCAAAAGCGAAGCAAAUUAUUCGCAUGAGUAGAUUCCAUGCAAAGUCAAUGACGCGAAUAGUUGCUGAGGAAGCAAAUUUUCAACGCGCGGCGCAGAAAACGCAAAAGGAGCAAAACGAAUAAAGCGCUUUUUCGCCAAAGUCGAAAUAUUUGAAUAUUUCAAAGUUGCAUAAUUAAACAAAAAAAUUCCCUUUAUGCUGUCUUGCAAAAGCCAAUCAGCAUUGAGAUGCUGUGCUCGUCAUGACUGCCGUUCUGCUGCCAGAGCGUGAAUGUACGUCAUGAAUCUGAACUCCUUGUAAGUUAGCUGGUGUCUAAUCGAGCGACGCUGGCACCGAUCCGACCCAACAGGUUAUUUAACUGGCUGCUGGUUAGCCUGAUAUAUUAACAAGAACUAAGAAAAGGGAUCAUAUCACUCCUGUAUUAACUUCUCUGCACUGGCUCCCUGUUAAAUCAAGAAUAGAUUUUAAGGUACUUCUCCUCACCUACAAGGCACUUGCUGGUGAGGCACCGUUGUAUCUUAAAGAGCUUGUAACACCUUAUUGCCCUACAAGGCAGCUGCGCUCCAUAGAUGCUGGGUUACUUGUUGUUCCUAUGGUUUUAAAAAGUAGGCUGGGGGCCAGAGCCUUCAGUUAUCAAGCUCCUCUUUUGUGGAACCAGGUUCCACUUUCAGUCCGGGGGGCAGAUUCGGUCAGCUCUUUUAAAGUAAAACUUAAAACUUUCCUCUUUGAUUCUGCCUAUAGUUCGGGCUGGCUCAGGUUAGCAGUUUUUUUUUUUUGUGCUUUCUCCCCUAUCAGGUCUCCGUAGAUUGUGGUUCCUUCGGGACCCUGGUCCUGACACCUACCGUGGCCAUGCUGACGCCUGCUGCUGCCAUCAUCAUCAUCAUUAUUAUUUUAGAUAUUCUCAGCACUCAGUGCUGUAGUGGUAAAAUUAGAGGUGGGUAAACUCUGAAUUUUGUGAUCAUACAGACCGCGAUGCAAAGCAACGCAACACAAAGUGUCGCGACUCUUGUAAGGCUGUCCUGGCUAUAUUACAUUAUGUUAUCAGUAAAAGUCAUAUACAAUUAAAUUUAAGAAAACAGUAAAGAAAAGUAUGUCAACACAACACGACAAGACAAUUGCAGAUUAAGAACUAUCUAUAUACGGAGUCUCCUUUUUACAGUAGUGCCCAGAGGGCCUCCUUGUCCUCCACGUCAGGUCCUGCCAUGCACAGAGGAGCCACGAACCCCAGAACGCGUGUUCUGGGGUUCAUGGCUCCUCUGUGCUUCUCUCUCUAUUCGACCUGGUGUUUCUCCUCUCCCUGUGCUCUCUGCAUCAUUGCCUGUCCUAUCACUGCCUGAAAAAAUAUGUUGAAUUUAAAAGUUAACCAGUUAAGCAGCCCAUAAGUUAGUUAGUGUUAAGUUAACACUCAUGUACUACCUAUGUCAUCAUAGAUAGCCUAUACAGCAUGUUUUUUUUCACAUUGAGAAUUGACUUGUUUUCUAAUCUACGCAUCACCAGGCGUUUUUCUUGUCCUUUUACCGUGCACGACCAGCGAACACAGAGCACGCGACUACUAGCCCCCCCCCGUCGGACCUUCUCGACCGGUCCGCGAAAUUGUCUGACAUGAAACCGGUCCGUGAGGUAAAAAAGGUUGGGGACCACUGGGCUGAUCUACAACGUGUAUGUGUUGCAUCCUGAUUGGUGUCGCAGCUGCAGCCGCAAGGCACUGAUUGGAUGGUCACAGACCGUAAUACAGCGCAGAUGAAAAUGAGACGACGGCGUUUAUAUGUUCAACAAUAGGAAACGUAGUCUUAGCUGUUAUAAAAUUACACAAGUUUAUUUUGGAUUAUUCCAACGGAAGAAUACAAGGCGCAGGGAACUUUGAGGUGCGUAAACGCUAUUUAUAGGUGCGUAAACGCUAUUUCCAAAAUUCUAGAGGUGCGUAAACGGCGUUUACAUGCGUUUACCCUCCACUACAGCCCUGACUGUACUCGUAAACCAACAUUACCCUCUCCUUAAGUCUCUGUGCUCUCCCUCCCCACAGGCUUCUGUGGAUGAUGGUUCUAUCUGUUGGUGGUUGCCCCUGCAGUGGUCCUGCUGUGCGCCUGGCUUACUACUCACAAUUACUUGAAUCAUUUCUGUCAUAGGAAUUGCAUGUAUUAUAUAUUGUUCAUUCUGUACACAUGGCAUCCAUUGUAGUCUGUCCAUCCCGGGGGUGGGAUCCCUCCUCUGACGUUCUCCCUAAGGUUUCUUCCCUUUUUUCCCUCUUGGAAGGGUUUUUUCAUUUUUUGGGGAGUUUUUCCUGUGCCGAUGGUGGGUUUCGGGACAGAGGAUGUUGUAUGUGUACAACUGUCUGACUGUAAAGCCCUCUGAGGCAAAUUUGUAAUUUGCGAUUAUGGGCUAUACAAAAUAAAAUUAAUUGAAUUGAAUAUAGCGUAAGCGGCAGUCAUCCAGACGCACUUCUUGGAGAAGUUGGUGCGGUUUUGAUGCUUGUGUAAUUCCUGCAAAAAAUAAAGACCAGAGAUAGUGGUUAUUUACAUGGUGGAUGGAGGAAAUAAUAAAGGUCUUUACGGAGACAAGUCACAGAGAUAAGGCACGCUCUAUUUCAGGAGCGAAUGAAACGGGACGUGAAUGAAGGCGAAUUAACUACAACUAGUCGGGCAAGUAAAGCGUUGCGAAGAUUCGCUUCGCUUUUGGUGUAAAGGCAGCAUUAUAGUUAGGGAUGGCUCAGGUUAGCCUGGACCAUCCCUUAUGCUGGUUCACAGAAAAGCAAAGCGAAAUUGCCACUCUUUACUCACCCGACUGCUUGUAGUUAAUUCACCUUCAUACGCUUUAUACGUGCCGGAAAGCGUGGCGUGGCGCCGUAGCUUGUCUCCGCAAAGACCGUUAUUAUUUCCGCUAUCCACCCUGGAAAUAAACAGUCUGCUCUGUACUUGUUGUGAAAAUUACACAAAUAUCAGACACCAACUAACUAACAGGUCUUCAAUCUCAGCUGCACAGCGCCUGUCUGUCUGUUUGCAUUGGUGAGUGGCAGUUUCAUGCUUGGCAACAGGCCACCAUGGAUCAUGGUUAUAUCUGGACCCUGUGCUGCUUCCCCCACAUUGGCCUUAUUCAGCGUGGUUACAUGGAUUCGAAUAACUGGCUUAGUCGGACUGAAAUCUAAUUAUCCGUUUCAUGUAACCACCUUUGUCUGACUGUGUGCGGUCCGACUACGAUCCGAUUAACACCCCUGGAUAACUCGAUCCGAUCCAGUUGAUAGUUCGACUAUUGCGGCAUGUAACGGUGAAUCGGAUAAGGAACUGGACUUUGCGUCUUUGCGCAUGCUUGAGAUCCCGACGGCGUCUUCUCUCCGUUAUCAAAUCAGCCAAUAGCGCCAUUCGCAUUCGCUGCACUCCUAUUAACAUCAUGCAAAGAUAGUAGAGGGUUGAAGCUUCACCUUGCUCUACGUUCGCCGUCUUUCUCGUAAUGUUGAUGUUGUUGUUGUUGGUUGUUGUUGGUAGUGGUGAAGCGGUCAAGCGGAAAUGGCUGUAUCACAACUAGUUGUAAUGAAAACAGCGCCACCUAUCGUAUCGGAUAUGACAUGCUUUCGGCCAAUGAUUCGAUUUAUUCACGGCCAUGUAUAUUGGGAUAAUAGCAUCUCCCCCCGAAAGAUAGCCUAGUCCGACUAAGCAAAGAUUUGAAAUAUACCUAAUAUAUAUUAUAUGUAAACACACUGACUGACACCUACCUCUUCUAACACCAUUAUUAAUCCCAUUACUAUUGCUGUCAACAUUAAUGCACAUCACUAACUUUGUUUCUUCCACGGAGUAUUUGUGCUUUCUUGUCUCACAGGUCUCCAUGGAUCAAGGUUCUGUCUGGACCCUUUUCCUGUCUCCUGCCAUGACCCAACUGACAUCUGCUGCUGCUAUCAUUAUUAUUAUAAAUAUUAAUCACAUUACUAUUACUGUCAUCAUAAACUAACUAACCAGCUUUUCCUUUUUUCCUUUAGUCUUUGUGCUUUUCCUCCCCAGAAAGGAGAGAAUAAGGCAGGACGCGAAUGAUUCAAUACUGGGGUUCAUUACUGGGGCCCCUUCUGUUCAACAUCUACAUGCUUCCAUUGGCUCAGAUUAUGGAAAACAACAAGGUGAGUUAUCAUAGUUAUGCAGAUGACACACAAAUCUAUAUAACUAUAUUACCUGUGGACUACAAUCCAAUACAGAAGCCGGGUAAAUGCAUUGUACAAAUCAACAACUGGAUGUGUCAAAACUGUCUUCAAUUAAUGAAAGAAAAAACAGAAGUAUUGUGUUUAGUAGUAGGGGUAGUAGUGUUUUUGGUAACAAGAAUGAGCGAUGGAAAGUCAGCGCUGAGCUUCUAUCACUGUUGUCACAAACCAAGCUAGACAUUUACAAAAUCAGCUUACUAUCUUUUGAAGGAUUAUUGUCAGGAAGGUGUGCUGGGGAAAAAGGCAGGACUCAAACGUAGAGUUCUUUGGGAAAAAAAAGGGACUUUAAUUGUCAAAACCUCCAAAACGGCAAACUCCAAAAAGGCACAA